GACAGAGGUGCCGAGCGUUAGGCGGAAUCACUGGGCUUAAAGCGUGUGUAGGCGGAUGGGUAAGUACCUUGUGAAAUCCCACGGCUCAACCGUGGAACUGCUCGGUAUACUGCUCGUCUUGAGCUGUCUAGGGGCAACCGGAAUUCCCAGUGUAGCGGUGAAAUGCGUAGAUAUUGGGAAGAACACCUGAGGCGAAGGCGGGUUGCUGGGCUGAUACUGACGCUGAGGCGCGAAAGCCAGGGGAGCAAACGGG
rnacentral:rRNA from 1 species